rnacentral:rRNA from 1 species
UCACACAGAGGAGUAGUGACGAAAAAUAACGAGACCGUUCUCUUCUGAGGCCGGUCAUCGGAAUGGGUACAAUUUAAACCCUUUAACGAGUAUCUAUGAGAGGGCAAGUCUGGUGCCAGCAGCCGCGUAAUUCCAGCUCUCAAAGUGCAUAGAAUUAUUUGCUGCGGUUAAAAAGCUCGUAGUUGGAUCUGUGCCAUAGACCGGGGUCUACCUCCGGGUACGUACUUCGUGUCUAGGCUUUUUGCUGGUUUUCCCGUCGUAGCCUUCACUGGUUGCGGCGGGUGGCUGGCGAGUUUACUUUGAGAAAAUCAGAGUGCUCAAUACAGGCGUAUUGCUUGAAUGAUUGUGCAUGGAAUAAUAGAAAAGGAUUUCGGUCCUCUUUUAUUGGUUUUGGGACUGAGAUAAUGGUUAACAGGGACAAACGGGGGCAUUCGUAUCGCUGCGUGAGAGGUGAAAUUCUUGGACCGUAGCGAGACGCCCUACUGCGAAAGCUUUCCAAAGAAUGUCUUCAUUAAUCAAGACG